rnacentral:misc_RNA from 1 species
AAGUCGUAACAAGGUUUCCGUAGGUGAACCUGCGGAAGGAUCAUUAACACGUUAUCCAUACGUUAACCAAUGAGAAUCGUUUUCACCCUCCCUUCACGGAGAAUGAGCGGGGUUGAUAGAGGUAUUGAAAGGGAUUGCUUCGGUGAUCUGCCUCUGUUGACUAUUUUUGCAUAACAGAAAUGUUUGUGAAGACGCUGUAUUUCUAGUGGAGAUUAAUCUUGAUCAGAGCUCGCCUUUCUUGAGAGCUGAUUGGGAACUAUAUUAACUUAUUUCACCUUUUUUGCUAGUUGACUUUUAUAUGUUGAGUACUAUACAUUGUAUUUUAUUCACACGUUUAUUAUUUGAACGUUAAAUUUACAACUCUUAGCAAUGGAUAUCUUGGUUCUC